rnacentral:lncRNA from 1 species
GAGAAUCUGAAUUCUUGAUGAGAGACCACAGUGCCAUUUUUUAUGGAUUCUUCCAUAUCUGAUAGAUGUCAUUUCAUUUAUGUGGAUGUUUUCACUAGUGCUGAGGACUCCAAGCAUCUAUCAAUUAACAAGCAUUUAUUAGUUCUGCAGACCUGACAGAGGGUAUGCAGCUAGGGCUAAUAAUGGACAUGAACUGAGUAAGUAUUCUCCCAAUUGCCCUCUGUUCCUCUACUCCCCAAUAUAGUCUUCUGUCUUAAUUUUAA